GUUCUGUUGAGCCAUGGAUUCCCCACCUUGUAUCGAUGCCUUUGGUUUCUUUUUCCUAGGUGGAGGACCUGGCAUUUGUUUCUACUGAAUCUCAUUUUGUUGCUUUCAGCUCAGCAUUCACGCUUAUCAAGAUCAUCCUCAAUCUCCAUUCUGU